rnacentral:rRNA from 1 species
CAGCGCCACGAGUGGGGACCACGUUUAUUGGGCCUAAAGCAUCCGUAGCCGGCGCUGUAAGUUUUCGGUUAAAUCUGUACGCUCAACGUACAGGCUGCCGGGAAUACUGCAGCGCUAGGGAGUGGGAGAGGUAGACGGUACUCGGUAGGAAGGGGUAAAAUCCUUUGAUCUAUUGAUGACCACCUGUGGCGAAGGCGGUCUACCAGAACACGUCCGACGGUGAGGGAUGAAAGUUGGGGGAGCAAACCGGAUUAGAUACCCGAGUAGUCC